GCCCCCGUAGCUCAGCAGGAUAGAGCAUCGGUUUCCUAAACCGAAGGUCGUGAGUUCGAAUCUCGCCGGGGGUA
rnacentral:tRNA from 1 species